rnacentral:rRNA from 1 species
CCUACGGGAGACAGCAGUGAGGAAUAUUGGUCAAUGGACGAGAGUCUGAACCAGCCAAGUAGCGUGAAGGAUGACUGCCCUAUGGGUUGUAAACUUCUUUUAUAUGGGAAUAAAAUGUUCCACGUGUGGGAUUUUGUAUGUAUCAUAUGAAUAAGGAUCGGCUAACUCCGUGCCAGCAGCCGCGGCAAUACGGAGGAUCCGAGCGUUAUCCGGAUUUAUUGGGUUUAAAGGGAGCGUAGGUGGAAUGUUAAGUCAGUUGUGAAAGUUUGCGGCUCAACCGUAAAAUUGCAGUUGAAACUGGCAGUCUUGAGUACAGUAGAGGUGGGCGGAAUUCGUGGUGUAGCGGUGAAAUGCUUAGAUAUCACGAAGAACUCCGAUUGCGAAGGCAGUUCACUGGACUGCAACUGACACUGAGGCUCGAAAGUGUGGGUAUCAAACAGGAUUAGAUACCCUAGUAGUC